AAACAGAAAAGGGCUCAUCGAAGGCGUUUGCAGGUUUUGCUCGCAGUUUCUGGCUCAUCCAUUGUUCCUUUUGCUCUGAUUUGGCCAUGGGGUUGCUCGGAAUCAAAUGCCGAGCGGAUAGGAGAAUUUUUAUCUUUUUUGGCGGUUAGAGGUGGCUCCAGCGCGGCGGCGGGCGGCGGUCGGCUGCCUUCUCUGGCAAGUGGUUCUUCUUCUCCGACCGGAGGUUGACGGUUAGGAUUUUGAUUCGGUGUGAUGUAAAAUAUUUAUACCCAUCUCGCGUUAAUCUGGACUGUUUAUCGCGUUUGAUCUCAAUCGUCCGAUCGCAUUUAAAGAGAAAAUGAAUCUGAACCGUUUAUCAUUAUUUGAUCUCGAUCAUUCAAUCGCGUUUAAAAAUGGAACAAAUCUAGACCGUUCAUUGCAUUUAAUCUCGACCAUCCGAUCGCGCCUGAGAAGAGAACGGAUUCGGAUCAUCCAUAUGCGCGGGAACGCUUCCGGAUCGUC
rnacentral:lncRNA from 1 species